GGGUUGUGAGGUUAAGCGACUAAGCGUACACGGUGGAUGCCCUGGCAGUCAGAGGCGAUGAAGGACGUGCUAAUCUGCGAAAAGCGCCGGCGAGGUGAUAUGAACCUUUGACCCGGCGAUGUCCGAAUGGGGAAACCCAGUGUGUUCCGACACACUAUCGUUAACUGAAUACAUAGGUUAACGAGGCGAACCGGGGGAACUGAAACAUCUAAGUACCCCGAGGAAAAGAAAUCAACCGAGAUUCCCCCAGUAGCGGCGAGCGAACGGGGAGCAGCCCAGAGUCUGAAUCAGCGUGUGUGUUAGUGGAACGGUCUGGAAAGUCCGGCGAUACAGGGUGACAGCCCCGUACACGAAAAUGCACAUGCUGUGAACUCGAAGAGUAGGGCGGGACACGUGGUAUCCUGUCUGAAUAUGGGGGGACCAUCCUCCAAGGCUAAAUACUCCUGACUGACCGAUAGUGAACCAGUACCGUGAGGGAAAGGCGAAAAGAACCCCGGCGAGGGGAGUGAAAAAGAACCUGAAACCGUGUACGUACAAGCAGUGGGAGCCCCACCACUAAGCCAGUGGUGAGUCCACGUCAGCAUCCUUUGCCGAAGGUAAGGUUAACGGAGCGCAAGCGACGUUCAACCUCAAAAGAAGCAGAGGGGGCUUAGUGGUGGGGUGACUGCGUACCUUUUGUAUAAUGGGUCAGCGACUUAUAUUCUGUAGCAAGGUUAACCGAAUAGGGGAGCCGAAGGGAAACCGAGUCUUAACUGGGCGUUAAGUUGCAGGGUAUAGACCCGAAACCCGGUGAUCUAGCCAUGGGCAGGUUGAAGGUUGGGUAACACUAACUGGAGGACCGAACCGACUAAUGUUGAAAAAUUAGCGGAUGACCUGUGGCUGGGGGUGAAAGGCCAAUCAAACCGGGAGAUAGCUGGUUCUCCCCGAAAGCUAUUUAGGUAGCGCCUCGUGAACUCAUCUUCGGGGGUAGAGCACUGUUUCGGCUAGGGGGUCAUCCCGACUUACCAACCCGAUGCAAACUGCGAAUACCGAAGAAUGUUAUCACGGGAGACACACGGCGGGUGCUAACGUCCGUCGUGAAGAGGGAAACAACCCAGACCGCCAGCUAAGGUCCCAAAGUCAUGGUUAAGUGGGAAACGAUGUGGGAAGGCCCAGACAGCCAGGAUGUUGGCUUAGAAGCAGCCAUCAUUUAAAGAAAGCGUAAUAGCUCACUGGUCGAGUCGGCCUGCGCGGAAGAUGUAACGGGGCUAAACCAUGCACCGAAGCUGCGGCAGCGACGCUUAUGCGUUGUUGGGUAGGGGAGCGUUCUGUAAGCCGUUGAAGGUGUGCUGUGAGGCAUGCUGGAGGUAUCAGAAGUGCGAAUGCUGACAUAAGUAACGAUAAAGCGGGUGAAAAGCCCGCUCGCCGGAAGACCAAGGGUUCCUGUCCAACGUUAAUCGGGGCAGGGUGAGUCGACCCCUAAGGCGAGGCCGAAAGGCGUAGUCGAUGGGAAACAGGUUAAUAUUCCUGUACUUGGUGUUACUGCGAAGGGGGGACGGAGAAGGCUAUGUUAGCCGGGCGACGGUUGUCCCGGUUUAAGCAUGUAGGCGGAGGUUCCAGGUAAAUCCGGUACCUUUUAACGCUGAGGUGUGAUGACGAGGCACUACGGUGCUGAAGUAACAAAUGCCCUGCUUCCAGGAAAAGCCUCUAAGCUCCAGGUAACACGAAAUCGUACCCCAAACCGACACAGGUGGUCAGGUAGAGAAUACCAAGGCGCUUGAGAGAACUCGGGUGAAGGAACUAGGCAAAAUGGUGCCGUAACUUCGGGAGAAGGCACGCUGACAUGUAGGUGAAGCCCCUGCGGGUGGAGCUGAAGUCAGUCGAAGAUACCAGCUGGCUGCAACUGUUUAUUAAAAACACAGCACUGUGCAAACACGAAAGUGGACGUAUACGGUGUGACGCCUGCCCGGUGCCGGAAGGUUAAUUGAUGGGGUUAUCCGUAAGGAGAAGCUCUUGAUCGAAGCCCCGGUAAACGGCGGCCGUAACUAUAACGGUCCUAAGGUAGCGAAAUUCCUUGUCGGGUAAGUUCCGACCUGCACGAAUGGCGUAAUGAUGGCCAGGCUGUCUCCACCCGAGACUCAGUGAAAUUGAACUCGCUGUGAAGAUGCAGUGUACCCGCGGCAAGACGGAAAGACCCCGUGAACCUUUACUAUAGCUUGACACUGAACAUUGAGCCUUGAUGUGUAGGAUAGGUGGGAGGCUUUGAAGCGUGGACGCCAGUCUGCGUGGAGCCAACCUUGAAAUACCACCCUUUAAUGUUUGAUGUUCUAACCUGGCGCCGUGAUCCGGCGUGGGGACAGUGUCUGGUGGGUAGUUUGACUGGGGCGGUCUCCUCCUAAAGAGUAACGGAGGAGCACGAAGGUUGGCUAAUCCUGGUCGGACAUCAGGAGGUUAGUGCAAUGGCAUAAGCCAGCUUGACUGCGAGCGUGACGGCGCGAGCAGGUGCGAAAGCAGGUCAUAGUGAUCCGGUGGUUCUGAAUGGAAGGGCCAUCGCUCAACGGAUAAAAGGUACUCCGGGGAUAACAGGCUGAUACCGCCCAAGAGUUCAUAUCGACGGCGGUGUUUGGCACCUCGAUGUCGGCUCAUCACAUCCUGGGGCUGAAGUAGGUCCCAAGGGUAUGGCUGUUCGCCAUUUAAAGUGGUACGCGAGCUGGGUUUAGAACGUCGUGAGACAGUUCGGUCCCUAUCUGCCGUGGGCGCUGGAGAAUUGAGGGGGGCUGCUCCUAGUACGAGAGGACCGGAGUGGACGCAUCACUGGUGUUCGGGUUGUCAUGCCAAUGGCAUUGCCCGGUAGCUACAUGCGGAAGAGAUAAGUGCUGAAAGCAUCUAAGCACGAAACUUGCCCCGAGAUGAGUUCUCCCUGAGACUUAGAGUCUCCUGAAGGAACGUUGAAGACGACGACGUUGAUAGGCCGGGUGUGUAAGCGCAGCGAUGCGUUGAGCUAACCGGUACUAAUGAACCGUGAGGCUUAACCUUACAACGCCGAAG
rnacentral:rRNA from 1 species